GUGUUUCCCAGCUGGACUGCUGCUGGACUGGAGCCUUGUUGUAGCUCAUGUGCGCUGUGAGGUUUUGCCAGGCCCUGCCACAGCUUUUGGGCGCCUCGAUCAGCUACUAGUACUUGCUGUCACUGCGCACGGAUUCGUUCUCAUCACACAGCUCAUGUGCGCUGGGCCCUGCCCCCAACCCAUUGGCGUCUACUGCCUUGCCUUCUCUGGAACGGAAUGUACGUACGCUUGUUUUUUGGCUGCAGCUGUAGUACUUGGGGUGUUGGAUUGCCCAUUGCAGUUUUGUCUUGUGCUGAUUAAGAGCAACUCCAACCAUGAGCCCCAUAAUUGGGCCCUAUAAUUUGAUUUAGUUAUCUAUUCUAUUUGUUUAGGGCCCAAAUACAAGUGUUGAUUCCAAUCAUGGACCCUAAAAACGAUAGGUUUUUUGCGCCGCCGCCAAUAGCAGGCAUUCGAUCUGGAAGGCGUCGGGAGGAGUGUUGCCGUUCGUACGCAACAGUUUCACAAGGAUGAUAUCUAAACGUAGAAGAUCCACCAGGCAUCAAGAAGUUGAGGAGGUUGAUGAUGAAUUUGACCACAUAUUAGAUCUUAUGAUGGGUGAAUACCAGAAGAGGAAGAAUGAAGAACAACGUAAAAGACGACGGGGUUCAGUUUUUGGACAUGAGGUAUAUGAUCGCAGUAGAGGAGAACAUGAUUUAAAAUUAUUUAAUGACUACUUUGCUGAGCGUCCAACAUAUCCUGAGAAGUAUUUCCGACGACGGUUUCGGAUGAGUCGUCCUCUUUUCAUGCGCAUAGCUGAAGGUGUUAAACAACAUGAUCGCUACUUUCAUCAGAAAAGAAAUGAUGUCGGUGCUCUUGGGUUUUCCUGUCUUCAAAAGAUCGAUGAUCACCAUCGGCGAUUGACGGACGAUAGCGAGACGCCGGUGUUGGAACUUGCUGAGACGCGGCACGGGCGGGCUACGAAGCACCUCCGAUUGCAUCAAGAACCUUAUUCAAAGACAUACACCUAUUCUUCGCCGACGGCCGUGACAAGGGGGAACGAGACCGGCCAUCCAUCUAGUCUGUCGUCAAAACGAGUUCGGGAAGGGAGAAGGAUAAGGGAACAGUGGAGAAGUUUGGCGGCGAUGUUCCGGACGACGUACCAGGGGAACCGUGGAAGGAGACGAGACGCAACUUGCAGGACGAUGGAUCGAGGACUCUGAGGAUGGCGGCACCGAAGGGAGACGAGACGGAUGGCAGCCUGCAGCCUGCAAGACGGCGGAUCAAGGACUCCGAGGAUGGCUGUACGAAGGGGAGAAAGGGCUUUGUGAAAUGUCAGUGGGGGUUGAGAUACAAGGGAACAAGUAUUGGGCCGCUCGUCCCAGGGUCUCAAAUUUACUGCUCCUGAGAUUAGGCCCUAAUUUUUUUUAUGAAUUCUAU